rnacentral:rRNA from 1 species
CACGUAGGGUGCGAGCGUUGUCCGAAAUUAUUGGGCGUAAAGAGCUCGUAGGCGGUGUGUCGCGUCGGCCGUGAAAACCUGCAGCUUAACUGUGGGCGUGCGGUCGAUACGGGCAUCACUGGAGUUCGGCAGGGGAGACUGGAAUUCCUGGUGUAGCGGUGAAAUGCGCAGAUAUCAGGAAGAACACCAAUGGCGAAAGCAGCUCUCUGGGACGGUACUGACGCUGAGACGCGAAAGCGUGGGGAGCGAACAGG